rnacentral:rRNA from 1 species
AGAGUUUGAUUCUGGCUCAGGAUGAACGCUAGCGGCAGGCCUAAUACAUGCAAGUCGAGGGGUAGAAGAGGCUUGCUUCUUUGAGACCGGCGCACGGGUGCGUAACGCGUAUGCAACCUACCUUCAUCUGGGGGAUAGCCCGGAGAAAUCCGGAUUAAUACCGCAUAAAAUCACAGGAUGGCAUUAUCCAAUGAUCAAACAUUUAUGGGAUGGAGAUGGGCAUGCGUGUCAUUAGCUAGUUGGCGGGGUAACGGCCCACCAAGGCGACGAUGACUAGGGGAUCUGAGAGGAUGGCCCCCCACACUGGUACUGAGACACGGACCAGACUCCUACGGGAGGCAGCAGUAAGGAAUAUUGGUCAAUGGAGGCAACUCUGAACCAGCCAUGCCGCGUGCAGGAAGACUGCCCUAUGGGUUGUAAACUGCUUUUAUUCGGGAAUAAACCUAUUUACGUGUAAAUAGCUGAAUGUACCGAAGGAAUAAGGAUCGGCUAACUCCGUGCCAGCAGCCGCGGUAAUACGGAGGAUCCAAGCGUUAUCCGGAUUUAUUGGGUUUAAAGGGUGCGUAGGCGGCCUGUUAAGUCAGGGGUGAAAGACGGUAGCUCAACUAUCGCAGUGCCCUUGAUACUGAUGGGCUUGAAUGGACUAGAGGUAGGCGGAAUGAGACAAGUAGCGGUGAAAUGCAUAGAUAUGUCUCAGAACACCGAUUGCGAAGGCAGCUUACUAUGGUCUUAUUGACGCUGAGGCACGAAAAGCGUGGGGAUCAAACAGGAUUAGAUACCCUGGUAGUCCACGCCCUAAACGAUGAACACUCBCUGUUGGCGAUACACAGUCAGCGGGCUAAGCGAAAGCGUUAAGUGUUCCACCUGGGGAGUACGCUCGCAAGAGUGAAACUCAAUGAAUUGACGGGA